UCAAGUUAUGAUCCCAAUGCUAAUGCAUAUGAUUAGAUAACAUGAGGUAUCUUAGGGUCAAAAUUAGGGUCUUACACUAGGUCAAACAAGGUCAAAGGACCUUAGACAAAAAAAAUCAUGAUUUUUGAAAAGUCAGAAGUAUUUUUAAACAAUUUUAAAUAUACAAAAAAACAAUUAAUUCAUGAAAAAUAUCAAAAUUAAUCCAAAAAAUAAUUUUAAUUCAGAAAAUGGAAGAGGAAAAUAUUUAAAGAUUUUUUGUGAAAGUCCCAUAUUUUUUGG
rnacentral:lncRNA from 1 species